UAUUUUUUCGUUUUUUUCACAACGGUUCGACAAUGUACGCAUAUAUUACAUAAAUAUACGUAUUUUGUUAUACCGUUCGAUAUUAUUUAGUAUGUCGCACUAGCACGCGUCUUUGCGCGAUAUCUUGCGGAGGCGGCCGAUUUGUUUACUAUUUUCUAACAAAAAAUAAUUUAAAAUUAUUUCAAUUCCGUUCGUCUUCGACUAGGAUCGAGGUUUCUUCUCACAUUUAUUUACCAACGUCUGCAGCUCGCACAACAUCGAUCAACUUUAAAUCUAACAUCAUCAGUCUGUGUUGCUUUUUAACACUGAUGCGCAGCCGGCCACAUCCAGCAGUCUUUACAUUAUUUUAACACACUUUUUACAACAAAGAAUAAUUAAUCUUUGUCGCGUUACUCUGGCAACCUACAAACGUUCAUCAAACUAUUCCGUAUAAUGAUUUACACGUGUAUGCGUUCGAGUUGCAUGAAACUUUACUAUUGCACGAAACCGAGGAGAUCGUGUGUGCUAAAGAUUACGGGAGGAAAAAGACAUCUCUUAAAGACGUUCGAUCGUUAUUGUUACGUUAUGUACUCACAUACGAUUCGUUCGUUCGUAACCAUAGCAUAUUUCAAUCGUACGUCUACGUGAGAAUCACUAUAUAUUAGUUCGACAGUUCGAUGAACGGACAAACGCACCGGUGUUGGUAAAAACUAUGAACAAGUGCUCGCGCUCACCUUUAAUAUUAUACUGUUUAUACGUACUACGUUUCACUCAAACAACUGACAUUUGUGUGAAUGCAAUUCUAACGUCUGCGAAUUAAUAACCUUAUACGAACAAUAAAUAUUAUUCUACACUUUUCCCAUGCCCAAGCUGAUUCGAUUUUUUUUCCGACCAACUAAUGUUAUGUACAUGGUCCAAACUCACAAGAACUCUGAACUACAUUCCGUUUGAACGUUCAUUACACGCAAAUACACGGUACAUAAUGCAUUGUGGAAUCGACGAACUGAAUAGAUGAAUAUGCACUGUUCAUACCGACUCUUCAGUUUCAGAUGAACGUAAAUGUCGAUCGUUUUAACGACGAUAAAUGCACAUUUUUCCAACCGGUAGUGUAACGAUCACAAUAUCGUAUAAAUAUAUACUUUUAACAUAUCUCUACUGUGCACACGAACUGUCCAACAAUAGUAAAACAGCAGUUGAAAAAUUUGGGUUUUUUUAUUGUUUCUGUCAGGAUUUCGCUGGUUGAUAAACGUCAAUAUACUGUUCGCGAGGGCCUAUUUUUUAAUGUCGUCAAGUAUUUCGAACCCCACCGAACCCGUUUCUACGUCAGGGAAAUUCUAUUCACUUGUCCGAGCGGCGUUCGACGGAUCGGGUCCGUCGCAGCAGCGGAUCAACAGGUAUAACAAGCGGUCGUAACCGAUUGAAAGUCGGUGUUUUCGACCUGCGUUGAAGGAAUGUCUCCAACGUUGGAAGCGAAUCGCAAUUAGCAUUUGGUAUACGGCUAAUUGUACAAUGUAAAUGCACAUCAGUUAUAAGGACUUAAAAAAUAUCGAUUUUAAUCAUAUUCCUAUAUUUAUAACAUAAUUUUUAUUUUUAACUUUCUUUUCCAGCAAAAUGUUUAAGUUAAAUUAAGUUGUUAAGUGUGUACAAAUUAACAUACAGAUAUACAGUGGAUUCCAGUGCUGUUCCUGAGAUCGUAUCAUGCGCAGCCGACAACAAUAGUUUAAUGAUCCAAAAACUCAAAGCGUCCCAUCUUUGAGUUUUCGUUUUCGACGCGGUUGUUAUUUUCAACAAUUUUCUUGCGUACAUGUAGGCAUUGGCGUCAUUUGGAGAAGGGGGCAAAUAAUGCUUUUGCCACAGUCUAUAGUUUGACUAUUCCGAAGUCGACACAUCGUCAAGACAUAAAUACGUCUUUUACAAAGUCAUUGACGUGUUGUAAAUCGGAAAAAUGAUACGUGUACAGUAUACACGGGUACAUAUGUACAAAGUAUAAAUCAUUAUAUUUUUGGACUGGUUUGAAGUUCCCUUCCCUCCCGCCCACGUUAGUCAGUACUUCGAUAAAAUUAGCUGCUGAGUCGGAAAUUUAAUAAGAGCAUGAUGCAGACUGCUCUACACUAGAAGAAACUGAAAUGACACUUAUUACGCGUACAGGUGCUACGCGAACGUAUAACAUUUGACCGUCUCAUUCGGUUCGGUGAUGAUAUUUUAUUCGAGUUUUGGCUUCGAACAAAAAGGAUAGAAAUAAAUUUAAUUGUUUUAAUCGUUGUAAGAUGUACAUCGAAGCCAAAACCAAGAUAUUAAUAUGUAAUUUUAAUGUCUUACGUAGGUAUACGGCGGCAGAGAUGACGUGACUACCUAUUAUUUUGACAUCGUCCUGUUAAAUAUUGACGUUAGCGUACGAUUUCUGCAAAAGUUCGAGUUCACACUACCGGAACCGAAAUCAAUCACUAUUAAACCGUUUACAAUUUCACUGUUUCGUAUGGUUCCUGAAGGAUAUUGCCGUCAUCCUCGCCGGUGGAUUGUAAAUAAUGUACGGAACGAGCAUUAUUAUUUCGUAUCUCCCGUAGCCAUAAGUUGCGCAAGGAAUAGCGCUAAACAUUAAGGACAUAAAUCAUAGAUCGUGACAGGCGAACAAGAAUUUUCGGCUCAAACGUUUUUCUAUAGGAAUCGAGUAGAUCAAUUUCGUUGCAAGAAAAAUAAAAAAUAAAACCAGAUGACGAGCACACACUACAUAUGCACUUGUAAACUUAUAUAUGUGUAUGUUUGAUCUUAUAUAUUUGUGUAUGGCAUUAUGUACAACCAUGUACCGUAUACAUAUUUGAACAUUAUUCAUAUAUUCCUAGGCCGUGAAUAAUACAUACUCUAAAUACGAUCCAUAGUUUUGUAUUCAUACACGAUCAUGUAAGAGAUAAAGACGUCGAUGUUUGUACCACUAAAUCUUCACAUGUGAUAAUCCACAUAGGCGAUAAUCCACAUAGGCGAUAAUUAUUAUUGUUUAUACAACUAUAGUUUUAUAUUAAAAAGCAGAGCUCUCUCGACAUUUUCAUUUAGGGUAGGGGUUGAAAACCUGAAACGGGUAUGUGGACUAUAUAAGGUAGGAUUUAGUGAUCACUAGGGCAUGAAUAUUCUUACAUUUGUAACUUUUUUCUACUGCACCAAUUUAUUGCUAAGUAAUUUUUAAAUUCGUUGUGAGUCAGUUAUUUAAUUUAAAUUUAAAUAUUUCAAGUGCAAU